rnacentral:rRNA from 1 species
ACGGAAGGCAGCAGUAGGGAAUAUUGCACAAUGGGGGAAACCCUGAUGCAGCAACGCCACGUGUGGGAAGAAGCAUUUUGGUGUGUAAACCACUGUCGUGAGGGAAUAAUGCUUGGCCUCGGCCAAGCUGAAUGUACCUCGAAAGGAAGCACCGGCAAACUUCGUGCCAGCAGCCGCGGCAAUACGAGGGGUGCAAGCGUUGUUCGGAAUCACUGGGCGUAAAGGGAGCGCAGGCGGAGAUGCAAGCAGUCUGUACAAUACCGGGGCCCAACUCCGGACCUGCAGACUGGACUGUUUCUCUUGGAUAGCUCAGGGGCAAGCGGAAUUCCUGGUGUAGCGGUGGAAUGCGUAGAGAUCAGGAAGAACACCGAUGGCGAAGGCAGCUUGCUGGGGACUUAUCGACGCUCAUGCUCGAAAGUGCGGGUAGCAAACAGGAUUAGAUACCCUGGUA